rnacentral:lncRNA from 1 species
CCAAGGGUCGUUGUCCUGGUCGGGUGAAGCCCUCAGGUCGAGAAAGGAGUCGUUGGCUGCCAGAGGCCUCUGCUGAGCAGGACGCCAGCCGGAGGGACCCGCCAGUAUGGUCGUACCAUUAUCCAGAAGGACCCCGAGGAGGAUGAGAAUAUUAUUGCUGCAUGUCUAAAGUCAAGGGAGGGGAGGCAUGAAGAAGAUGGACCAAUUUUGUCAUUCUAAAAACAUGGCCUAUGUAAGUUGUUAUUUCUUCUC